rnacentral:misc_RNA from 1 species
AUGUUCUGCGUCGAAGAGGUUUAGAUACACUCGCUGUUUCGAACACCAUUCACACCCCUGUCUUUCUCAACGUUCCUCCCCACUGAAGGCCUUCACGUCGCCAUUGACCGUGACGUUAUCUGGGCCACCCACCCCCUUCCAUUUUGGUGGGCGUUUCUAUUUCUGUUGCCCCCCAGCGCUGACCGGGCACAGCGCGCCCUCCACACUACCUCCAUCUCCUUUUUUUUUUCGUUGCUUUCGUGCUCACAGUCACGCUCUCCGUUGCCACGCCGCCGCCGCUGCCGCCGCGUGUGUGUGUCGUCCCAUUCGGGACUCUCCUCUUUUUUAUUAUUCUCAGUUGUCGCUCGCUUGUCCUUCCGACACUCUCUUACGUGAUCGCGUACGGAGGUGGGACGCGUCGGCUCUCCCGACACACCUGUACAGCCCCCCCUUCCCAUCACCCACUGCCUUUUCUUUUCGUCUCUCUUUCCUCCCUAUUAUUCACUCUUUAGACUCUCUGAAAGGCUUUGAUUUCUGCCACAAGGCCCCCCUCCCAAUUUUGUACCCCCACAUCGUCUUUCGCUGGUUCUCCCAUCGGCGUAGGCAAUGCCGGUCACCAACGGUAAGCGGCCGCGCGAGGAUUCUGGCGCGCCGGUGGACGAGGCGGCCAUGCGCGACACGACUCGGUGCGCCUUGGAAGCCAAAGACGCCGCCGCGACGCCGCUGGACCGCGUUGUAGUUCUUAACGUAGGCGGCACGAAAAUAACUACGCUGCAGUCCACGCUGUGCUCUUCGCCAUCACUGCUGGCGCAGUGGGCAGAGAACAACUUCCAGGAGUUCCCACGUGAUUUGCAGGGGCACCCGUUUCUCGACCGCGACCCUGAGAAUUUCGUGCAUAUCCUCAACUACCUGCGUGGCUACGGGCUACCGAACAAGGCCGACGACCUUGUCGUCGUGGCCGAAGAUGCAGAGCUGUAUCAGCUGGAGUCGCUGAAGCGCGAGAUCGGUCUUGACCCGCCGUCGAUGUGGCGCUUUACACCGGGCCCUGGCAUCCGCGACGACGGUGUGGAGUUCUCGACGUCGGACAUACUCGACUUGUGUGGCACAGAGCCCCUUUCCACCGGCCUUGCCCACACAAUCGUCUUCCGCAUCGACAAGUGCGAGCUCGUUUCCAUCGGCGUCGUUGCCUUUAAGGAGAUUCAGCACGACAUGCAGAUUCGCCGUCAGAAAAACACUGUGUGCUACUGCAACACAGGGGAACUGGUGCGCUACUGGUCCGCGGAUGCGCUCUAUGAGCAGGGCGUUUUGUACAAGAGCCAGGACGAGAUCACUGUCCGCGUGGAGUUCGCCCAGCCUGGCGUGCCGCUGGAGCCACCGUCCGGUGCCAAGACCAUGGAGCACCUGCCGCCGCCGCUGCAGCCUGCGCUGACUCUCUCGUCGACACCGUUGCCAGCAAACGUCUCGAGCACCACCGCGCUCGGCAGCAGCAGCGUGGUGCCGAGCCGCCCUUUGCCACUGGUUAUCGACGCGAGCGUGGCGAUGGCGAACGCCAGCAGCGGCGCAGAACCGCCGAUCACGUCCCCAGCCUUCCAGCCUGGGUCCUCAGCGAUGGACGUGGCUAACAACCGCCCUCUGCAGCAGAGUAGCAGCUCCCCGAUGACAACCCCCGCGAACCCGACCACGCUGCCAUCCCCGCAGACUCUGGGCGGCUCUGGAGGAGGCACGGCGGGCACGGGCACGGCGACCACACCCACCAGCGGCCCCUCGGCAGCCCCCGCGUCAGCUCCGGGAGUGGCACCGGCGUCGCCGUUGCUCCCCUUCGCCCCUGUUGUCCUCGACCCCGAAGACCCAGACGCGACUGUCGGCGCCAUCGUGACAUUUUUCAAGGGCGAUCGCGAGGUGUGCCGCGCGCGUUGGCCCGCCCCUGUGCCUCCACUGCAGUUUGCGGUGAGCAUGCAAGGCGCCUCUGCCGUGUCGAUCCUCAAGACAACCUCUGUCAGCGCCGAUGCUGUCGGGAUGGAGAACGAGGACUAGGCCGAGCGAAAGCGAUGUGGGUGAGUGGUGUGGGUUUUAGAAGAGAAAGGCCGUGGCACUGGAGAGGCAAGAGGAUGCGCAUCCAAAAGAGGGAGAACAAGCGACAGCGUUCUGAGAGACGGCGCACAGGUGUACAUGGCCCGCCGUUCUUUUCCUAUCCUUCCCUCAGUUCUGGAGUCGGUUCUGCUGUUGUAUGUGCUGUCUCCCCUCUUCCCCAUUCACAUGCCUUUUCCCUCUUUUUCUUUUCGAACGUUCUUCGUUGCUGUCUUCAUCUAUGUUUUCACUUCGACGUUCCCUUGAGUGCCAGACAGAUGCAUACACACACAGAUACUUCACACACCUCCCCCCACACGCGUGCCCGAAGACGUACACGUAGGCGUGUAUUUCCCUCGCCGUCUCAGGAGGGACUGCCGUGAUUACAUGACCCUUUUGCGUAAUCGACUCUCGCAAGCGACAGCUUAGUCGUAUUUCCCUCUGUCUCUGCCUGCCUGUGUGUCUGUGCGAGCU